rnacentral:rRNA from 1 species
UCGGGAAUUUUGGGCAAUGGGCGAAAGCCUGACCCAGCAACGCCGCGUGAGGGAUGAAGUAUUUCGGUAUGUAAACCUCGAAAGAAUGGGAAGAAUAAAUGACGGUACCAUUUAUAAGCUCCGGCUAACUACGUGCCAGCAGCCGCGGUAAUACGUAGGGAGCAAGCGUUGUUCGGAUUUACUGGGCGUAAAGGGCGCGUAGGCGGCGCGGUAAGUCACUUGUGAAAUCUCUGAGCUUAACUCAGAACGGCCAAGUGAUACUGCUGUGCUAGAGUGCGGAAGAGGCAACCGGAAUUCUUGGUGUAGCGGCGAAAUGCGUAGAUAUCAAGAGGAACACCUGAGGCGAAGGCGGGUUGCUGGGCCGACACUGACGCUGAUGCGCGAAAGCCAGGGGAGCAAACG